CAGACGUCAGCCCUGCUGACCCUUCCUGGGGGAGCCCUGGAGAGGGAGAGGAAUCCAGAGGAAGAAUUGCAUCCUGCGGCUCCUGUUUGGUCAAAUUUGUUUUUCUUUUUCCAUUUUUGAUUGCUUUGUACUUUUUCUAUUAUAUUUUGUUUCCUGCCACCAUUCGUAUGCAUUUUGAGUUUUCUCAUUUUAACAUUUUAUUCCAUAGAACAGUCUCCGUUGUUGGUGUGGCGUAGUUGAUAUGGUUCAUGUUUUCUGUUGGUGAUGGGAGCAGAGUGAGUUUGUUCAUUUUUGCGUUUUGAUUUCUGUUCAUUUGAUUUCUGUUGUUGCAUUUUCAUUUGUGCACCACUCGUCUCCCUUCCUGGGAGCCCCGGGAGAGGGAGAAGAAUCCCGAGGCCAGAAUCGCAUCCUGGAUGGGGACUUCCUGGGGCGGGACUGACUGCGGUCUCCCAAGCCCUCUGUGUCCCCAGUGGCUCCCGCGUCCCUCAGCAGAGCGGGGCAGGAGGUGUCCAUGGCGGCUCCUGGGACCAAGGUAACUACUGCCCAGUCCGGGUGGCUCUACAAGGUUUAGGAUCCAAAGAAGCCCAGAAACAUGAUCUGCACCAGCAAGAAGACUUCCUGUGGAAGGACCUCUUGGUGGUCACCACGAUCUUUCACGGGAAGAUGGACUCCGAGACGCCCAGCUUCAGAAUCCUCGCCCUUCCAGUAGAGGAGUCGAAGGUCCCUCAUCCUCGCUGCCCCAAGGACUGGAUCCCUUGGCUCCUCCAUCCCCGGGGAGCAGCUGCUGCCUAGGAAGAACUUCGUUGUCUCUGUUGGUGCCCAUGGAUUGCCCUGCACUACUGCCUCUGUGCCUAGAGUUAACAGAUUUAUGAGUUAACAGAAACCCAUGAGAUCAAUAAAUUGUGAAUGGAAAAACA